rnacentral:tRNA from 1 species
GCCUGGGUGGCUCAGUGGUUGAGCAUCUGCCUUCAGCUCAGGGUAUGAUCCCAGCCUCCUGGGAUCAAGUCCCACAUCAGGCC